rnacentral:rRNA from 1 species
UACAGAGAGUGCGAGCGUUGUUCGGAAUUACUGGGCGUAAAGCGCGCGCAGGCGGCCUUUUAAGUCUGACGGUGAAAUGCCGGAGCUCAACCCCGUACCCACCGCGGAUACUGAGAGGCUGGAGACGAGUAGAGGCAAGCGGAAUUCCGGGUGUAGCGGUGGAAUGCGUAGAGAUCGGCAGGAACACCCAGGGGGAAACCAGUGGACUGGGCAGGAGCUGACGCUCAGGUGCGAAAGCGUGGGGAGCGAACCGG